rnacentral:miRNA from 1 species
UUUUGUUGUUCCCCCCAUUUUUCAUGAGCUGAACUCAAAGAUGUAUUACUUUUUCUAUGCACACAAAAGGCCUACAUAGAAAAAAGUAAUAAGUCUUUGAGUUCAGCUCAUGAAAAAUUGGGGCAAAAACAAAAG